rnacentral:rRNA from 1 species
UACGUAGGUGGCAAGCGUUGUCCGGAUUUACUGGGCGUAAAGGGUGCGUAGGCGGCUUGCCAAGUAGGGUGUGAAAGCCCCCGGCUUAACCGGGGAAUUGCGCCCUAAACUGGCGAGCUGGAGUGAGAUAGGGGUGUGUGGAACUUCCGGUGGAGCGGUGAAAUGUGUUGAUAUCGGAAGGAACGCCGGUGGCGAAAGCGACACACUGGGUCUCAACUGACGCUGAGGCACGAAAGCCAGGGGAGCGAACGGG